AGAGUUUGAUCCUGGCUCAGAAUCAACGCUGGCGGCGCGCCUAACACAUGCAAGUCGAGCGAGAAAGGGAGCAAUCCUGAGUACAGCGGCGUACGGGUGAGUAACACGUGGAUGAUCUGCCCUUUUGUGGGGAAUAACUCUGGGAAACCGGAGCUAAUACCGCAUAAUCCCGAGAGGGGAAAGCAGCAAUGCGCAGAAGGAGGAGUCCGCGGCCGAUUAGCUUGUUGGCGGGGUAACGGCCCACCAAGGCAACGAUCGGUAGCCGGCCUGAGAGGGCACACGGCCACACUGGCACUGAGACACGGGCCAGACUCCUACGGGAGGCAGCAGUGGGGAAUCUUGCACAAUGGGGGAAACCCUGAUGCAGCGACGCCGCGUGAGUGAUGAAGCCCUUCGGGGUGUAAAGCUCUUUCGACGGGAACGAUAAUGACGGUACCCGGAGAAGAAGCUGCGGCUAACUACGUGCCAGCAGCCGCGGUAAUACGUAGGCAGCAAGCGUUGUUCGGAAUUAUUGGGCGUAAAGAGUAUGUAGGCGGUUGGCUAAGUUUGGUGUGAAAUCUCCUGGCUUAACUGGGAGGGUGCGCUAAAUACUGGUCAGCUUGAGUGUGGGAGAGGAGAGUGGAAUGCCUGGUGUAGCGGUGAAAUGCGUAGAUAUCAGGCGGAACGCCGGUGAUGUAGAUGGCUCUCUGGACCACAACUGACGCUGAGAUACGAAAGCGUGGGUAGCAAACAGGAUUAGAUACCCUGGUAGUCC
rnacentral:rRNA from 1 species